AAACUCCUACGGGAGGCAGCAGUGGGGAAUAUUGGACAAUGGGGGAAACCCUGAUCCAGCAAUGCCAUGUGUGUGAAGAAGGCUCUAGGGUUGUAAAGCACUUUAGUUGGGGAGGAAAGCUUAUGAGUUAAUAGCCUAUUGGAGGGACGUUACCCAAAGAAUAAGGACCGGCUAACUCCGUGCCAGCAGCCGCGGUAAUACGGGGGGUCCGAGCGUUAAUCGGAAUUACUGGGCGUAAAGGGUCUGUAGGUGGUUUGUUAAGUCAGAUGUGAAAGCCCAGGGCUCAACCUUGGAACUGCAUUUGAUACUGGCAAACUAGAGUAUGGUAGAGGAAUGGGGAAUUUCUGGUGUAGCGGUGAAAUGCGUAGAGAUCAGAAGGAACACCAAUGGCGAAGGCAACAUUCUGGACCGAUACUGACACUGAGGGACGAAAGCGUGGGGAUCAAACAGGAUUAGAUACCCUGGUAGUCCACGCUGUAAACGAUGAGUACUAGCUGUUGGAUUCGGUGUAAAGGAUCUAGUGGCGUAGCUAACGCGUUAAGUACUCCGCCUGGGGACUACGGCCGCAAGGCUAAAACUCAAAGGAAUUGACGGGGACCCGCACAAGCGGUGGAGCAUGUGGUUUAAUUCGAUGCAACGCGAAGAACCUUACCUGGUCUUGACAUCCUGCGAACUUUCUAGAGAUAGAUUGGUGCCUUCGGGAACGCAGUGACAGGUGCUGCACGGCUGUCGUCAGCUCGUGUUGUGAAAUGUUGGGUUAAGUCCCGCAACGAGCGCAACCCCUAUUGAUAGUUACCAUCAUUAAGUUGGGUACUCUAUUGAGACUGCCGCUGACAAGGCGGAGGAAGGUGGGGACGACGUCAAGUCAUCAUGGCCCUUACGACCAGGGCUACACACGUGCUACAAU
rnacentral:rRNA from 1 species